rnacentral:lncRNA from 1 species
GCCAGACCUCAGGUUGUACUGGUAGGAGCAUAAAUAUGUGACUUAGUAAGCUUGUUUUCUUGCAUUUUCAUAGUUAGUUUGUGUUUAUUAUAGUGAUUUAAGCUAUUUUCGUGUGUUUGUAGGUCUAAUUGGCAAAGUUGGCAAGAAAGUGCAUUUUGAAGCAUUUUAGAGCAAUUUUGGGCUGGAAUGGAUUGCAUGCAUGUGGAGCACAAGGAAUGGACGUUUUUAAAGAUCAAAUGAAGCGAAGAGUGUGCUAAAGAGAUUGAGAAAUUAAUUCACGACUUGGAAGAUGAGU